CCCAGACUCCUACGGGAGGCAGCAGUGGGGAAUAUUGGGCAAUGGGCGCAAGCCUGACCCAGCAACGCCGCGUGAAGGAAGAAGGCUUUCGGGUUGUAAACUUCUUUUAUUCGGGACGAAGAAAGUGACGGUACCGAAUGAAUAAGCCACGGCUAACUACGUGCCAGCAGCCGCGGUAAUACGUAGGUGGCAAGCGUUAUCCGGAUUUAUUGGGUGUAAAGGGCGUGUAGGCGGGAAUGCAAGUCAGAUGUGAAAACUCAGGGCUCAACCCUGAGCCUGCAUUUGAAACUGUAUUUCUUGAGUGCUGGAGAGGCAAUCGGAAUUCCGUGUGUAGCGGUGAAAUGCGUAGAUAUACGGAGGAACACCAGUGGCGAAGGCGGAUUGCUGGACAGUAACUGACGCUGAGGCGCGAAAGCGUGGGGAGCGAACAGGAUUAGAUACCCCGGUAUCU
rnacentral:rRNA from 1 species